CGAUUCAAUCAUACCAGCACUAAAGCAUCGGAUCCCAUCAGAACUUCAAAGUUAAGCGUGCUUGGGUGAGAGUAGUACUAGGAUGGGUGACCUUUUGGGAAGUCCUCGUGUUGCAUUUC
rnacentral:rRNA from 1 species